GUGGGGAAUUUUGGACAAUGGGCGCAAGCCUGAUCCAGCAAUGCCGCGUGCAGGAAGAAGGCCUUCGGGUUGUAAACUGCUUUUGUACGGAACGAAACGGUCCGGGUUAAUACCCUGGGCUAAUGACGGUACCGUAAGAAUAAGCACCGGCUAACUACGUGCCAGCAGCCGCGGUAAUACGUAGGGUGCAAGCGUUAAUCGGAAUUACUGGGCGUAAAGCGUGCGCAGGCGGUGCUGUAAGACAGGCGUGAAAUCCCCGGGCUCAACCUGGGAAUUGCGCUUGUGACUGCAGUGCUGGAGUGCGGCAGAGGGGGAUGGAAUUCCGCGUGUAGCAGUGAAAUGCGUAGAUAUGCGGAGGAACACCGAUGGCGAAGGCAAUCCCCUGGGCCUGCACUGACGCUCAUGCACGAAAGCGUGGGGAGCAAACAGGAUUAGAUACCCUUGUAGUCC
rnacentral:rRNA from 1 species